rnacentral:rRNA from 1 species
UAAGUGUAUCGGAACGUGCCCAGUCGUGGGGGGUAACUGCUCGAAAGAGCAGCUAAUACCGCAUACGACCUGAGGGUGAAAGCGGGGGAGUCGCAAGACCUCGCGCGAUUGGAGCGGCCGAUAUCAGAUUAGGUAGUUGGUGAGGUAAAGGCUCACCAAGCCGACGAUCUGUAGCUGGUCUGAGAGGACGACCAGCCACACUGGGACUGAGACACGGCCCAG